rnacentral:lncRNA from 1 species
GCUGUGUCACAUUAAUCAUAGGGCUGCUCUCUGUAAAGCAAACUCCUCUCUUUCAGCAGCCUGAGGAGCUCCGGAGGUGGGGAGGUGCUGCCUGUGGUCAGCUCUGCGCUGUGCUGCUCUGCUCUCUGGGAGAUGCAGUACUGCUCACUGCAAAUGAAGAGGAACGUAGCAUCCUCAGGGCAUUAAAGCAAAUAUAAAAAGUAAGAAUCCCAGACCAGAGCUUUCAAGGACUGUUCAAACUUUUAUUCAUAACACAGCUGUUGAGUGAAGGGGGGGAAAAAAAAGA